GAUUAUUUCACUCGUGUUUCUCGUAUCUGGAUGGAUGCAAGUGAAGUUAUUACAAAUGAUUUGAUCUACGACAUCGAAGGUGGUAAUGUUCUUCUGGCAUUCGAUGGAUACAAAUACAAUCUUCCAAAUGUUGCAAUUGCUCGUGUUCCUAAGGAUGAAACUGCAAUGGUUCUAUGUGAAUACACUCCACCAAUGACAAAAUCAGAGAGCAACUACUUGCUCAGAAGAUAUGGAGAGAUCUAUUAUCCACCUCUUGUCACAUCAGAGGCUGUGUACAUGAGAACUAUAAGCGGUCGAAUCCGUGAUGAAACUGAUUUUUGCUGACAUUUGCUGACAACAAGUACUGUACCAAUGUGAUGCGUCCUAUAUUCCGAGGAUUAGCUGCUCGAUCAGCGUUUCCUACUAGAGAGUUUGUAGACAAAUUGGAAAAAGAAAAAGCUAUAAUUAGAUCAGCCACAGUUUCACAGAGUGCGAAUCAAAAAGGCAGAGAAGAAUCGGAGUGUGUAGUUAAGAUGACAAUGGCUUAACACAAUGAUGAUGAUUUCUAAAAAUUAGUCCACUUAUUAUUCUUAUUAUUGUAUUGCAGGGUGGAAAGACUUUGAAUGUGAAAAUAGUUCAAGCAUUAUGGAGAAAGGGUGAACCAAAAGAAACAUGUGAUGCCGCUUCUUGGAGUUCAGCAAUAGUUUUGAGGUAUCUUCCACUCAGUCUGAUUUUCCAUUUUCUAAUCCUAAUACUUUCAGUCGUGAUGGAGAAAAGGGACUUGAAACAAUGUCUGACGCCCGUUACGCUCCUAUCUAUUGUGAAGCUAUUUUGGACGAAUACGAAUAUGGUGCAUGUUCUGAUGGAUUUUCUUCAUAUUAUCGUGCUGCGUUGGGAAUACAAUGGUGCCACAAGUUGGUUUCAAACAAGGAAGUUGUGUAUUCAGAAGCUGAGAAGGAAUGUGAUUCAUUAGGAGCUCAUGUGUCGGGAUUCUCGGAUCAGACAGAGUUGGAUUUUAUGCACAGUAGGUUUUUUAAAGGAAAUUUACAUUCCCGAUCCAACUAGUAUAUUUACAGAUAUGACAAUGAAAAGCAGUUUAGGACGGCAUCAUUAUUCAAAUGUAUAUAUUGGAGCCCGAAGAAGACCAGAAUGCAUUAAACUCGGUGUCAGUGACCAAAUCCCUGGAUUUGAUACUGAUGACUCCAAACCAUGUGCUCGUUUCCGAGUGUUUUCUUGGCUUCACGGAGUUGCCCUGAAUCCACCUGAUUUUGCUUCCAACUGGAUGACCGACAAGGAACCAAACUUUGUUGGGAACGAAGAACAAUGUAUUGUUGUAAUGACAGGGACUCCUCCGCAAUGGCGCUACAAUGGCGAUAAGAAAAUCAAUGAUAUUCCGUGUACAGAUAGAUAUCCAUUUUUCUGUGGAAAAGAAGCACCAAUUGUGAAGAAGACUAAAUGAAUGGCCUACUAGAUUCUCCAUGGUUUAAUAAAUAUUAAUAUAAAUCAUCUGUACACUUGCAACAUAAAAGAGAACUGAAAUUCCGACAUUGCUUUUUUGUGGCGGCUAUUUCAACUCUUAAAGUAUUUUCAUUUACUCGCGUAUUUAUUCUAGCCCUACAAUGAGGAUUACACCCAUACUGACACGAAUCUUAUUGUUGUCGCUUGUUUUCUUUACCUAUGAUUUAUCACUUGUGGUACCCUUGACUUGAGUUGAAGUAAUUAGAGUACAAAACAGGCGAAAAACAUGAAAAUCCCAAUGAAAAAUUAGAAAAAAGGAGGAUAAAAUCAGUUUCUACUUUAAUUUAAUUCAUCAUUAUUUCACUGUUUUAGAUUACACCUGAAUUGACAGUAGACAUGCAAUAAAAUUCAUCUCUAUCUGGUCUUCUGUAUAAUUUUCUCUAGAAAUUUCUCCGACUUCCAUAACUUUCAGUAUAUAUUUUCAGUAUAAAGACUGGCAAUUGUGAUCACUUCAGCUUGAGACAUUAAUCUUACAAGUGAUAGACUUUUAAUAAGUCAGACAAGAUGAAAACAGAUAAAAAAUUAUUGAAAAUCCACCGUAACACCGAAAAAAAAUCGGACAUGUCUGGUUUAUUCUGGUUUGUCAGAUCUAAUUAAUAGAAAUUUUAAUGAUAUGAACUUAAAUGCACGUUAAUAUCCGAUUACUAUUUCAAAGCUAAUUAAUAAUUCGUAACUCGAGAGCAUGGUUUUUGGCGUGUCAGCAUGGUUUGUUUUUUUUUUGCUCAAGCUAAUUUUCGCAAGAAACAAUCAGUUCUUAAUUUGAACGAGUUGCACCGAGGUGAGUUAUUUUUCUAUGCUUGUGAAACUAUACAAUUUUUUUCAGUUUCAGCAACCAAUAUAAAAUGCGAAUCAAAAUUUUUAUGAUUAUAUGCCUUUUGCAUAAAACAAAUGCGCAACUGGCAAGAGAUUGGAGUUUCCAAGAAAUGUGCAAUUUUUGGGGUGGAGAGAAAACUUAUCAUGCAAGAAAAGAUGGAUUUAAGGUUAGUUACAGUAAUUAGUGAAGUGUUUUUUGCAAUAAAUAACGAAAAAAAGGACAACGAUGGCUAUAAAUCCAGAAGAGUUUAAAAAUGUGUGAAUUAAACUCAAAAUGGAAUAAUACAUUUUCAGUCGUUAGAAGGUGACAAGUGUACGUUCAAUUUUCCAAAAGCCUCCAAUAAUCAGGUUAGUUUUUUUGGAUCUAAAUGAUGUAUAAAUGUAUUUAUUCAUUUAAGGAAUCUGCUCAGCAGUACUGUGAAGACAAUGUCCCUUAUCAUAUCAAUAAUGCAGAAGCAUCAGAAUAUAAAACAACCUGUGAAGCAGAAGCAACAUUAAUUUGUAAAAGUGGAUGGGUUCAGAUGUUUGGAAGGUGCUACAAGAUCACUAAGACGAUGAUGACACGUGAUAAAGCUGAAGAACAUUGCAAGAAUCAACAGGAUCAUACAUCGACAAUUGCAUUCAUGCAUAGAGAAGCAUUGCCUUUUAGAUGGAAUGGUUGGUUUUCAACUAUCCAAAGCAAAGCUUAUUAUGUCAAUUUCAGAUUACUUCACUCGUGUUUCUCGUAUCUGGAUGGAUGCAAGUAAAGUUAUCACGAAUGAUUUGAUCUAUGACAUCGAAGAUGGUAAUGUUCUUCUGGCAUUCGAUGGAUAUAAAUACAAUCUUCCAAAUGUUGCAAUUGCUCGUGUUCCUAAGGAUGAAACUGCAAUGGUUCUAUGCGAGUACACUCCACCAAUGACAAAAUCAGAGAGCAACUACUUGCUCAGAAGAUAUGGGGAGAUCUAUUAUCCACCUCUUGUCACAUCAGAAUCUGUGUACAUGAGUACAACAAGCAGUCGAAUCCGUGAUGAAACUGAUCAAUUUGCUGACAACAAGUACUGUACCAAUGUGAUGCGUCCUAUAUUCAGAGGAUUAGCUGCUCGAUCAGCGUUUCCUACUAAAGAAUUUGUGGACAAAUUGGAAAAAGAAGCAGCUAUAAUUAGAUCAGCCACAGUUUCACAGAGUGCGAAUCAAAAAGGCAGAGAAGAAUCGGAGUGUGUAGUCAAUCAAAAACCAAUUCACCAAGUGUUUGCUAGUGGUCAGGUGAGGAGUAAUUAAUAUGACAUUGCUGAUAAUGCUUAAAAAUUAGUCUACUUAUUAGUCCAUUAUUGUAUUGCAGGGUGGAAAGACUUUGAAUGUGAAAAUAGAUCAAGCAUUAUGGAGAAAGGGUGAACCAAAAGAAACAUGUGAUGCCGCUUCUUGGAGUUCAGCAAUAGUUUUGAGGUAUCUUAAACUCUGUCUGAUUUUCCAUUUUCUAAUCCUAAUACUUUCAGUCGUGAUGGAGAAAAGGGACUUGAAACAAUGUCUGACGCCCGUUACGCUCCUAUCUAUUGUGAAGCUAUCCUAGACAAGUAUGAGUAUGGGCCCUGUCCUGCAGGAUUUUUACAAUAUGAUCGUACUGAAUUAGGAAUACGGUGGUGCCACAAACUCUAUUCGGAAUUAGAAACAACGUACGAUGAUGCAGAGAAGGAAUGCUUGUCAUUAGGGGCUCAUGUUUCCGGUUUUUCGGAUUUGAAGGAAAAAGACUUCAUGCACGGUAAGUAUUUUUAAAAGAAUAGUUGUUUUAUUGUACUUAUACAUUAGCUCCCAAAGAAUAUUACUUCAGACAUGAUAAUGGCCUCUCCGAUCAAAAAUAAGACAUUCAAUCGAGUGUGGAUUGGAGCUCAGAGAAGACCGGAAUGCAAUACUUUAGGUGUCGAAGGUAAAACCGGUGGAUUCGAUACUGAUGACUCCAAACCAUGUGCCCGUUCCCGCGUGUUUUAUUGGCUUCAUGGAGUUGCCCUGAAUCCACCAGAUUUCAUUGAGCACUGGGCGGAUCCCAAUGAACCGAAUUUUCUUGGAGAUAAAGAGAAGUGUGUUGUUGUAAUGACAGGAAGUGAGUGGACUCAUUGGAAAUUUGGCAUAAACAAAAAAAUCAAUGAUGUUUCCUGUGGCAGACGUUAUCCAUUUUUCUGUGGAAAAGAAGCACCGAUUGUAAAAGUGACCAAGUGAACGGCUCUCAUUCUCUACAGUUUAAUAAAUAUUGAUAUAGAACAUUUGUUCACUUGCAACACGAAAGAGAACUGGAAAUCCGCUUAUUCGGCUAAUUCAAUUCUUAAAGUAUUUUACAUUUACUCGCGUAUUUAUUCUAGCCCUACAAUGAGGAUUACACCCAUACAGACACGAAUUUUAUUGUUGUCGUUUGUAUUCUUCACCUAUGAUUUAUCACUUGUGGUAUCCUUAACUUAACUUGAAGUACAGCAACGGCCUAAAAAGUAUUUGAAAAUCCGAAUGAAAAAUUACAAAAAGGCAGGAUAAAAUUAGUUUCUACCUUAUUUUAUUUCAUUAUUAUUAAACCGUUUUAGAUUACACCUGAAUUGCCAGUAGACAGGCACAUUUUCAGUAUAUUUUCCGUGAUUAUUUUCAUUCCGUGAUUAUUUUCAUUCCGUGAUUAUUUUCAUUCCGUGAUUAUUUUCAUUCCGUGAUUAUUUUCACUCGGGAAUCGCUCGCCCACUAUGGGGGAGUCUACGCAAGGACAACGCAAGGACAAGGACAACAUUCUAAUGGAAUGGAAACAAUUGCCCGACUGCACCAAUUCUAGUUCAAGCGAACAAUGAUAACUUUUGUAUUCUGUAUUCCUUCACGUCUCCCAGCGAGCGUAAUAAAUUAUUAUUAUUAUUUUCAGUAUAUUUUCAGUAUAUUUUAUAGUAUACACGUUAAUAUCCGAUUACUUUUUCAAAUCUAAGUAAUAAUUCGUAACGCGAGAGAAACACGUUUCGGCGUGUCAGCAUGGUUUGUUUUUUUUUGCUUAUAAGCAAACUUUCGCAAGAAACAAUCAGUUCUUAAUUUGAACGAGUUGCUCUGAGGUUAGUAAUUGUUGUAUGCUUGUGAUACUAUUCAAAUUGUUUCCGUUUCAGCAACCAACAACAAAAGAUACGAAUUAUAAUUUUCAUGGCUAUAUGCAUUUUGCAUUAUACAAAUGCUCAACUGGCAAGAGAUUGGAGUUUCCAACAAAUGUGCAAUUUUUGGGGUGGAGAGCAAACUUAUCAUGCAAGAAAAGAUGGAUUUAAGGUUAGUUACAGAAAUCUGACAGUGUUUUUUUUCAAUAGUUGGCUGAAAAUAGGAAGAAAAAGAAGAAAAAACCACAACAAUGGUUAGACAUCCAAAAAAAGUUUUAAAAUGUGUAAAUUGAACUCAAAAUAAAAUUAUAAUUUUUCAGUCGUUAGAAGGUGACAAGUGUACGUUCAAUUUUCCAAAAGCCUCCGAUAAUCAGGUUUUUUUUGGGUCUAAAUGCUGUAUAAAUGUACUUAUUCCUUUCAGAAAUCCGCUCAGCAGUACUGUGAAGACAAUGUUCCCUAUCAUAUCAAUAAUGCAGAAGCAUCGGAAUACAAAACAACCUGUGAAGCAGAAGCAACAUUAAUUUGUAAAAGUGGAUGGGUUCAGAUGUUCGGAAGGUGCUACAAGAUCACCAAGACGAUGAUGACACGUGACAAGGCUGAAAAACAUUGCAAGAAUCAACAGGAUCAGACAUCGACAAUUGCAUUCAUGCACAGAGAAGCAUUGCCUUUUAGAUGGAAUG
rnacentral:sRNA from 1 species